AUUGAACGCUGGCGGCAGGCGUAACACAUGCAAGUCGAGCGGAGCGAGGGUGCUUGCACCUUAGCUUAGCGGCGGACGGGUGAGUAAUGCUUAGGAAUCUGCCUAUUAGUGGGGGACAACAUUCCGAAAGGGAUGCUAAUACCGCAUACGCCCUACGGGGGAAAGCAGGGGAUCACUUGUGACCUUGCGCUAAUAGAUGAGCCUAAGUCGGAUUAGCUAGUUGGUGGGGUAAAGGCCUACCAAGGCGACGAUCUGUAGCGGGUCUGAGAGGAUGAUCCGCCACACUGGGACUGAGACACGGCCCAGACUCCUACGGGAGGCAGCAGUGGGGAAUAUUGGACAAUGGGGGGAACCCUGAUCCAGCCAUGCCGCGUGUGUGAAGAAGGCCUUUUGGUUGUAAAGCACUUUAAGCGAGGAGGAGGCGCUCUAGGAUAAUACCCUAGAUGCGUGGACGUAC
rnacentral:rRNA from 1 species